rnacentral:ribozyme from 13 species
UUCUUUCUCUUUCCUUUCUCUCUCUCCUCUCCUUUCUAACAACAAAAUCUUUCUUCGAAAAGAGUAAAGAAGAAAGAGAGUGAGAGGAAGAGAGGCGAGAGAAAGAGAGAGAAAGGAAGAAGAGGAGAUGCGAGAAAAAAUCUUCUCACAAUAUCUCCAGAUUGUGCUCAUGAUUUAAGAAAGAGAGAAAAGA